GACGAACCGAGCGAACGUUGUUCGGAAUAACUGGGCUUAAAGGGCGCGUAGGCGGGCCGCCAAGUUCGAGGUGAAAUCCUCCGGCUCAACCGGAGAACUGCCUCGAAUACUGGAGGCCUCGAGGCGGGUAGGGGCACGCGGAACUGUGGGUAGAGCGGUGAAAUGCGUUGAUAUCCACAGGAACUCCGGUGGCGAAGGCGGCGUGCUGGACCCGAUCUGACGCUGAGGCGCGAAAGCCAGGGGAGCAAACGGG
rnacentral:rRNA from 1 species